rnacentral:rRNA from 1 species
GAUGAACGCUAGCGGGAGGCCUAAUACAUGCAAGUCGAACGGUAAGGUCCCUUCGGGGAUACACGAGUGGCGGACGGGUGCGUAACGCGUACGAAACAUACCCUUCAACAGGGGAGAUACCCUCCGGGGAAACUGGAAAUAAUACCCCCAUAGUAUUGAGAUAUCGCAUGAUAUUUCAAUUAAAGCUUUGGCGGUUGAAGAUUGUCGUGCGUCUGAUUAGCUAGUUGGUGAGGUAACGGCUCACCAAGGCGACGAUCAGUAGCUGGUCUGAGAGGAUGAUCAGCCACACUGGAACUGAGACACGGUCCAGACUCCUACGGGAGGCAGCAGUAGGGAAUAUUGGACAAUGGGCGGAAGCCUGAUCCAGCCAUCCCGCGUGUAGGGAAUAAGGCCCUAUGGGUUGUAAACUACUUUUAUUAGGGAAGAAAAACUUUAGAUUUAUCAGAGCUUGACGGUACCUAAAGGGAAUAAGCACCGGCUAACUCCGUG